AGGUUACAGGUAAAUAAAAUUUGGCAAAAUGUUUUCUUUAUAGCCAAGCUAAUUCUCAGCGUUGGCAUUAUAAAGAUUGUUUCCUUUCUUUUUAACCAGAUAGCUUCUUUGGAUUAGCUGGGUGACAAGAUCUUAAUUCAAGUCUUGGUCAUUUUCUGACUUAACAGGCUGAAUUACAAAAACACAUUUUUUUCUUGCAGAUAUAAACACCUCUGUCGUUACAAGUUUGUAUGUGCAAGUUCACAUGCAGACGUGGACUCUGAGGCUGAAGAACCACUAACG
rnacentral:lncRNA from 1 species